rnacentral:rRNA from 1 species
UAGGGAAUCUUCCGCAAUGGACGAAAGUCUGACGGAGCAACGCCGCGUGAGUGAAGAAGGAUUUCGGUUCGUAAAACUCUGUUGUUAGGGAAGAAAAAAUGUAUAGUAACUAUAUACAAAAGAGACGGUACCUAACCAGAAAGCCACGGCUAACUACGUGCCAGCAGCCGCGGUAAUACGUAGGUGGCAAGCGUUGUCCGGAAUUAUUGGGCGUAAAGGGUGCGUAGGUGGUCUUUCAAGUCGGUGGUUAAAGGCUACGGCUCAACCGUAGUUAGCCUCCGAAACUGGAAGACUUGAGUGCAGGAGAGGAAAGUGGAAUUCCCAGUGUAGCGGUGAAAUGCGUAGAUAUUGGGAGGAACACCAGUAGCGAAGGCGGCUUUCUGGACUGCAACUGACACUGAGGCACGAAAGCGUGGGGAGCAAACAGG